rnacentral:rRNA from 1 species
CCUACGGGAGGCAGCAGUGAGGAAUAUUGGUCAAUGGGCGCGAGCCUGAACCAGCCAAGUAGCGUGAAGGAAGACUGCCCUACGGGUUGUAAACUUCUUUUAUGAAGGAAUAAAGUGAGACGCGUGUGCCUUUGUGUAUGUACCUUAUGAAUAAGGAUCGGCUAACUCCGUGCCAGCAGCCGCGGUAAUACGGAGGAGCCGAGCGUUACCCGGAUUUAUUGGGUUGAAAGGGUGCGGAGGCGGCCUUUUAAGUCAGCGGUGAAAGUCUGUGGCUCAACCAUAGAAUUGCCGUUGAAACUGGCGGGCUUGAGUAUUGUAGAGGCGGGUAGAAUGCGAGGUGUAGCGGUGAAAUGCGUAGAUAUCACGAAGAACACCGAUGGCGAAGGCAGCCUCCCAAGCAAUGACUGACGCUGAUGCACGAAAGCGUGGGGAUCAAACAGGAUUAGAUACCCUUGUAGUC